rnacentral:rRNA from 1 species
GACGAACGCUGGCGGCGUGCCUAAUACAUGCAAGUCGAACGAGAGCGACCGGUGCUUGCGCUGGUCAAUCUAGUGGCGAACGGGUGAGUAACACGUGGGUAACCUGCCCAUCAGAGGGGGAUAACAUCCGGAGACGGAUGCUAAAACCGCAUAGGUCUUCGAGCCGCAUGGCUUGAGGAGGAAACGAGGCGCACGCUUCUGCUGAUGGAUGGACCCGCGGUGCAUUAGCUAGUUGGUGAGGUAACGGCUCACCAAGGCCGUGAUGCGUAGCCGACCUGAGAGGAUGAUCAGCCACACUGGAACUGAGACACGGCCCAGACUCCUACGGGAGGCAGCAGUAGGGAAUCUUCCGCAAUGGACGCAAGCCUGACGGAGCAACGCCGCGUGAGUGAAGAAGGUUUUCGGAUCGUAAAACUCUGUUGUUAGGGAAGAACAACUGCUAGAGUAACUGUUAGCGUCUUGACGGUACCUAACCAGAAAGCCACGGCUAACUACGUG